rnacentral:rRNA from 1 species
GAAGGCAAGCGGAUCUCUUAAAGCUGUUCUCAGUUCGGACUGCAGUCUGCAACUCGACUGCACGAAGCUGGAAUCGCUAGUAAUCGCGGAUCAGCACGCCGCGGUGAAUACGUUCCCGGGCCUUGUACACACCGCCCGUCACACCAUGGAAGUCUGCAAUGCCCGAAGCCGGUGGCCUAACCACUUAUGGUGGAAGGAGCCGUCUAAGGCAGGGCAGAUGACUGGGGUGAAGUCGUAACAAGGUAGC